rnacentral:lncRNA from 1 species
GCCAGGCUGAAGCUUUGUCCUAUGGAGAAGCAGAAAAGGUCAGAGGAGGAGAAAGAAAGAGCCCUUCCCGGUCAAGGAGCCAGCCAGGGAGGGAGACAAAAGGAAGGAGGCUCCAUGGAGAUGCAAUGUGAACAACUGACCGUCUGCUCUGACCACCAUGACUUCCCUGCCUGAAACCAUGUCUUCCCCUCCAUGAUGCCAGUUACAAGAUGAAAUAAAUCCCUCCUUCCGUAAAAUGGGUAUUUUUGUCUCAUCAACAAGAAAGUUAAAUUAUGUAAAGCUGGCUCUAGGGAGGUCCUUAGGAUUUGAUGAGGUCGUGAGACUAAGAUCCUGGUGACGGUAGUAGUGGCUUUUGUAGAAGGAAAGGAGGAGGAGGAGAAGGAGAGGAAGAGGAGGAGGAUGAAGAGGAAGAGGAGAGGAAGAGAAGGAGGAGGAUCCAUGCUGUCUCACCACAUUGCCCCCUGGUUAUACUAUGAUGUUUCAGAUGAGUCUUCAUCAGAUGCCAGGCAGAACUGGCACCAUGCUUGGGCUUUCAGCCUCCAGAAAAAUAGCAAAAGAAAUUUCUAGUCUGUUCUCUUUUCCAGAAAAACAAGCAACAACAAUAAAACCCCACGUUUGUUCUAAAGCAAUGGCAGAUAAAGAGAAACCUCUUCUUUUCAUAAUGACAACGGAUAAACACAGAAAGAAUAUGGAGUUCUUUUAAAAAAUAAAAUCACAAAUUUGCCAACAUUCUAAUAAAAGUUAUUAAGAUAAAGGAUCAUCAAAACAUACUAAAUCUAGGAAGGACAGGUAUGAGGAGACACAGAAUUGUCAAGACAAUAUCAACAUUUCUUCUAAAACAGUAACUGGGAGAAAUAAUAACUAGACAAUGCAGAAAGUAGACAACCUCGUUUCUGUGUGAUGGAAAUUAACACCAACAACAAGGACUAUUCUGCUCAUCUGAGCUUGGUACCCAGGGUCACAUCACUUAAUAGUAUUCUCACCCACACCACACAAUCCAAAUCUACCCACGAGGAAUCAUCAAGAAACUCCAGUGAAGCUGAUCGUCUUCAAAGACAUCAAUACAACCAAAGACUGGAAAGGGCAGAGGAAUGGCUCCAGAUCAGCAUCAUGACAGCACAAUCUACAAUCCCAGACUGGAUCCCGCCUCUGAGAAAUUACCAACAGAGCAAAUGAAAUCGGAAUAGAGACUGCAGAUCAGAUGAAAGUCCCGUCUGAAUGGGAGACUGCAGGAUUUAUAUGCUUGAGUGAGACUGGGUCUUGCUCUUGUGAAGUGCGUGUAUAGUAUUAAAGCAUGGAGGGCUGGGUAUCUGUACUAUCUCUCAAAUGAGUUAUAUAAAAAGGUUAUAUAUCAAGGAAUAGAAAGUUAUAAAGCAAACACAGGAAUCAUCAUCAAAAAAGAAGAUAACCUGUGUAGCAAUGAAUGUUUUCUUUUCUUUAAUUUUCUCCCAAACAAGCAUAUCCACACUGACAUGUAAGUGUGUAUUUCAGGAGUACAACAACUUUCAGUACUACCCAAAUCCUCCAUGGAAGGCAAGCAGUGAAAAUAUUCCUUAGGGGUUGGUUGUCAACAUGUGUAUAAAGGGCUAUGUCUUUCCCAGAAAGCAUAGUACUACAGCUUCCAGAGAUUUUUUUUUUAUAUGUAUGCACAAACUUCUGCACUCACGUGUAAUUGUUUCUUUUUGAUGGCGAUAGUCUCUAAGUUUUUGUCAUUUCCAUGUUUACUUUGCUAAAGCUUGGACUUGGCUUCAAUGCGGAGAUCAUAUUUUUUCUUCAGACCUUCUCUCUGGAGCAGUGUCUGAGAUAUGUGUUCUCAGCUAGCAGACUCAGUUUGUGAGUCAUAGCAUUAACAUAAUGUGAUGGUUCUUUCCUGUUCUGCAGUGCAGUACCAAUGAAGACCUGCAUAGGAGGGCCUGAGUCUGCUCAUUGGACCAACUUGUGAGAGGAAAGUAUUCAGGUAUGUCUGUAAAAUGAGAGGCAAACAGGUUUAAGUCCUAGGCUGACCUAAAGUUAAUCAACCCAGCUUUUAAUGGGUCUGUUAUACUCUGAUUGGGUUCAAUUGUAAAUUCCUCAUUAAACUUCUAUUCCUUAUAAGUCA